GCUGGGCAUGGUGGUGCACACCUGUAAUCCCAGUGACUUGGGAGGCUGAGAAAGGAGGAUUGCAAAUUUGAGGCCACUCUUGGCAGCUUAGUAAGAUCCUGUCUCAA
rnacentral:sRNA from 1 species